GAGAUCAUCUUUCUAGAUAAUUCCCCAUAACAAACUUCUGGAUUAGAGGGCACGAUAUUUUGGGGGAGGGGGAAUCUUUCCUGGGGACGUUUUUUUUCUUCUUCUCUUUCUUUCUCUUUCUAUAUAACACAUGCACACACAAAAGUCACACAGAAGAAAAAGGGGGAUAACGGAAAUAGGGAGAGAGGACCUGGAGAAAAGGAGAACAAAAAAAAAAAAAAAAACGAGCUCACUCCUCUUCUUCCUCAUUAGUUCAUCACCAUCUUUGCACCAUAAAACAAAAUCUAAAAACUGCCUUCUUCUUCCAUGAAAGUCCAGCCAUGAAAUCCCAACUCAAAACCAUCCAAAACACCACCAUUUACAGCUGAAAAGUGCAGCAAAACAGGCACAAAAACAGAGCAAAAAUGGAGAACAAAAAAAUCUCCAAAAAACCAGCCUGAAAAUCACGCACACACACAGAUAUCCAUCGCCUCUGCUCCUUCUUCUUCUGCCUGAAACUCGCCGGAUUAGCGAGCUCCAUCCGCGACAAACAGAACCAAACAGCCCCGCACCAGAUCUCUAUAGCCAACACUCAGCACCCCUCUAAAAUCGGCAGCCGCACGCACGUUCAGUCCAAAAUCGAGUGAACGUUAGCUUCGAGCUUGAGUGUCGAGUUUCUCGGUAUCGUUUCGAGCUUCCGUCUAGCGUCCGUGGUUCAUGCUUCAGCUGUCCCGUUUGCUGUAACAAUUGUUGCAUCCGAACAUAAAACUGUAAAGUUGGGAAAUUCUCGUUAAAUACGCAACACUAGAGGUCUGCCGCAUUUCUUACUCCUUAGUCUAACGAUGUUAACCAGAGUAGGACUAUUACUUGUUUGGGAACGAGUCAUUCGACUGCUCCCUUGUUGCAACAUUUUUGGAGGAGGAGGCGACUCAAAAUCAUCAUCAUCGGGAGCCUGCACAUGCUUAUUCGCUUCAGAAGAAGAGGGUGAGGGAAAGUCACUCGAAGAUUUAACUGGAGUGGGAGUAUUUCUCAUUUGAGAACGAGUCAUCCGACUGCUCUCUGGUUGCAAGUUUUUAGGAGGAGCAGCAGAAUCAAAAUCAUCAACUUCUGGCGCCGGGGCAUUUACAUUAGAUUCUGAAUCAGGGCUUGAGGGAAACUCCCUCAAUCGUUUCGCAUAAUCUAACUAACGCCUUUUCCGUCAAUCUUCAGUUUGUUUUUAGAAGCA